rnacentral:SRP_RNA from 1 species
ACUAGUGGCUCCCGCAAAGGGGAGCCGUGAAUUGGGUCAGGCCUGAAAUAUGGAGCAGCCCUAAGCGGGGUACCCUUGUGCGGGGGCCGCUAGUCAG